rnacentral:rRNA from 1 species
UACGGAGGGAGGCUAGCGUUGUUCGGAAUUACUGGGCGUAAAGCGCGCGUAGGCGGUUUUUUAAGUCAGAGGUGAAAGCCCAGUGCUCAACACUGGAACUGCCUUUGAAACUGGAAAACUUGAAUCUUGGAGAGGUCAGUGGAAUUCCGAGUGUAGAGGUGAAAUUCGUAGAUAUUCGGAAGAACACCAGUGGCGAAGGCGACUGACUGGACAAGUAUUGACGCUGAGGUGCGAAAGCGUGGGGAGCAAACAGG